ensembl:rRNA 5S_rRNA 5S ribosomal RNA
UUCUACUGCCAUUCCACCCUGAACGUGUCCGAUCCCAUCUGAUUUGGGAAGCUAAGCAGGGUCGGGCCUGGUUAGGCCUUUGAUGGGAGAAAUGUGCUGCUUUGGUUCAGUGGCAC